AAACUUGUGCUAAUACCGGAUAAGUCUUUACGGAGAAAGCUUUAUGCACCAUUGGAUGAGCCCGCACUUGAUUAGUUUGUUGGUGGGGUAAUGGCCUACCAAGACUUUGAUCAAUAGCUGAUUUGAGAGGAUGAUCAGCCACAUUGGGACUGAGACACGGCCCAAACUCCUACGGGAGGCAGCAGUGGGGAAUCUUGCACAAUGGAGGAAACUCUGAUGCAGCGAUGCCGCGUGAGUGAAGAAGGCCUUUGGGUUGUAAAGCUCUUUCGUCGGGGAAGAAAAUGACUGUACCCGAAUAAGAAGGUCCG
rnacentral:rRNA from 1 species